rnacentral:rRNA from 1 species
GACGAACGCUGGCGGCGUGCUUAACACAUGCAAGUCGAACGGAAAGGCCCUGCUUUUGUGGGGUGCUCGAGUGGCGAACGGGUGAGUAACACGUGAGUAACCUGCCCUUGACUUUGGGAUAACUUCAGGAAACUGGGGCUAAUACCGGAUAGGAGCUCCUGCUGCAUGGUGGGGGUCGGAAAGUUUCGGCGGUUGGGGAUGGACUCGCGGCUUAUCAGCUUGUUGGUGGGGUAGUGGCUUACCAAGGCUUUGACGGGUAGCCGGCCUGAGAGGGUGACCGGCCACAUUGGGACUGAGAUACGGCCCAGACUCCUACGGGAGGCAGCAGUGGGGAAUAUUGCACAAUGGGCGGAAGCCUGAUGCAGCAACGCCGCGUGCGGGAGGACGGCCUUCGGGUGGUAAACCGCUUUCGCCUGUGACGAAGCGUGAGUGACGGUAAUGGGUAAAGAAGCACCGGCUAACUACGU